rnacentral:rRNA from 1 species
CCUACGGGAGGCAGCAGUGGGGAAUUUUGGACAAUGGGCGAAAGCCUGAUCCAGCAAUGCCGCGUGAGUGAAGAAGGCCUUCGGGUUGUAAAGCUCUUUUGUCAGGGAAGAAACGGUGAAAGCUAAUAUCUUUUGCUAAUGACGGUACCUGAAGAAUAAGCACCGGCUAACUACGUGCCAGCAGCCGCGGUAAUACGUAGGGUGCAAGCGUUAAUCGGAAUUACUGGGCGUAAAGCGUGCGCAGGCGGUUUUGUAAGUCUGAUGUGAAAUCCCCGGGCUCAACCUGGGAAUUGCAUUGGAGACUGCAAGGCUAGAAUCUGGCAGAGGGGGGUAGAAUUCCACGUGUAGCAGUGAAAUGCGUAGAUAUGUGGAGGAACACCGAUGGCGAAGGCAGCCCCCUGGGUCAAGAUUGACGCUCAUGCACGAAGACGUGGGAGGACGAACAGAGUAGUAUACCUACGUAGUACCGACGACCCGUAACCGACUAGUCUACUAGUUAGUUCGGUCGUUAUUAGUACGUU